CUUGUCCCUGGACCUCCAUGUGCUCCAGACUACAGUGUUUUCUCCCACUUUUCCUUCCUCAGACAUUUCCUGGGAAAACAAAACAAAACAAAAAAACCCACAACCCACACUGACGGCUUUAAACAUCCCAUUUCAGUCCGCAUCCUUCCCCAGCAACUUCUCCAAAGGCCGUCGGGGCUGCUCUUCAGGCAGCCCGGCCGACCUGCAGGGCGGGCUGCCCCCGGCACCGCUGGGCCGAGCCGUGGAUUCGCGGGGCAGCCGCGAAGGAACGCGGAGAGCGCUGGCCGCACGGCGAACCUUACUCACAUAUUCCUUCACGUUUUUCGUCUUCACGGCCUUGUAGGAGGAGUAGGCGGGGUAGAGCGUGCCGAAUAUCAGCCUGCAAGAAGAACAGACCCCUUAGCACUUCUCGGCUCCGCUGCGUCCUGCACCGCCGUUGCCCUACCCGUCUCCACGGCGGGAAGCCCCCAGCAGCUCCCACUCCUCCGCAGCCGCCGCAGGCAGAGCUCAGCCGCCCCCACCACCGCAGCGCUGCCCUUAGGAGGCCGCCGCUCCCGGGCCGCGGAAGCCUACGCAGAGCCGUCAGGACGCGGCCGCAGACCGCGAGACAGCGGCCGCCCCCAGGGACGCGGGGUUCUUCCCCAGGCUGAAAUCUGUGGCAGCGCUGCAGCUCCGCUCCGGGAGGCGGCCGCGCCCCACCCGGAGUGCCCGGCCAGAGAAAGGCCCUGCGCAUCCUUCCUCCCAGGCUCCGGUACUCACACCACGAGACGUGAGAUGAUCCAGGAGACCAUGGCGGCGCCGGGCAGGGUCGGGCGGCGACGCGGGGCUCCGCGGUGGCAGGAGGCGGCUCUUAAAGGGCGGGUUCCUGCAGCAAGCACCGUGCAGCCCCUCCCCGGCUUCUUACAGGGGCGGAGCCGACGGGCCGCAUCGCGCCCCGAGCUUCCCCGCCCCGUUCAGGCAGCACGCGGCACUGGGGCGGUUCCUGCGCCGGUUCGCUCCGAGCGCGAGAACGGUGCUCCCCGGGGGCCGGAGCCUCCUCGCCCCCGGGCGAAGGAGGGUGACGGCAGCGUGGCUGGAAAGAGGACCUACCGGAAAGAUGGCAGGCGACUAACGUACGAUAUAAGAAAUUACAGAAGGAGGAGUGAUGAUUUAAGGCGAUGGAUACUUUAG
rnacentral:lncRNA from 1 species